rnacentral:miRNA from 1 species
CUCUUCGGAGGCGUGGGUUCG